GAUCAUGGCGUCAGGAUGAACGCUAGCGAUAGGCCUAACACAUGCAAGUCGAGGGCAGCACAUGAAGCAGCAAUGCGGAUGGUGGCGACCGGCGCACGGGUGAGUAACGCGUAUGCAACCUACCUACAACAGGGGAAUAACCCGUUGAAAGACGGACUAAUACCCCAUAACACAGGGAUCCCGCAUGGGAAUAUUUGUUAAAGAUUUAUCGGUUGUAGAUGGGCAUGCGUUCCAUUAGCGUAGUUGGUGAGGUAACGGCUCACCAAGGCAACGAUGGAUAGGGGAACUGAGAGGUUUAUCCCCCACACUGGUACUGAGACACGGACCAGACUCCUACGGGAGGCAGCAGUGAGGAAUAUUGGUCAAUGGGCGCAAGCCUGAACCAGGCCAACCGUCGCGUGAAGGAAGACGGCCCUACGGGUUGUAAACUUCUUUUGUAAGGGAAUAAAGUGCAGGACGUGUCCUGUUUUGUAUGUACCCUGAGAAUAAGGAUCGGCUAACUCCGUGCCAGCAGCAGC
rnacentral:rRNA from 1 species